rfam:Hordeum vulgare subsp. vulgare, WGS project CAJW01000000 data, contig: morex_contig_1560080
AUAGUACUCCCUCUGUCACAAAAAAUUUGUCUUAGAUUUGUCUAAAUAUAAAUGUAUCUAGUCAUGUUUUAGUAUUUAGGUAUAUUCAUUUUUAGACAAACCUAAGACAAUAACUUUGGGACGGAGGGAGUAUAUG